rnacentral:rRNA from 1 species
UGGAUCCAGACUUUGAUCCUGGCUCAGGAUGAACGCUGGCGGCAGGCUUAACACAUGCAAGUCGGGGGGCAGCGGGGAGAAAGCUUGCUUUCUCCGCCGGCGACCGGCGCACGGGUGAGUAACACGUAUGCAACCUGCCCCUGUCAGGGGGACAACCCUCCGAAAGGGGGGCUAAACCCGCGUACAUUCCCCGGGGGCAUCCCCGGGGGAGGAAAGGAGCAAUCCGGACAGGGAUGGGCAUGCGGCGCAUUAGCUGGUUGGCGGGGCAACGGCCCACCAAGGCGACGAUGCGUAGGGGUUCUGAGAGGAAGGCCCCCCACACUGGUACUGAGACACGGACCAGACUCCUACGGGAGGCAGCAGUGAGGAAUAUUGGUCAAUGGGCGAGAGCCUGAACCAGCCAAGCCGCGUGAGGGAAGAAGGUACGAAGUAUCGUAAACCUCUUUUGUCAGGGAACAAAAGCGGGCCUGCGGGUCCGUCUGAGUGUACCUGAAGAAAAAGCAUCGGCUAACUCCGUGCCAGCAGCCGCGGUAAUACGGAGGAUGCGAGCGUUAUCCGGAUUUAUUGGGUUUAAAGGGUGCGUAGGCGGAGAUUCAAGUCAGUAGUGAAAUCUCGGGGCUCAACCCCGAAACUGCUAUUGAAACUGAAUCCCUUGAGUAUCGGAGAGGCAGGCGGAACUCCUAGUGUAGCGGUGAAAUGCGUAGAUAUUAGGAGGGACACCAGUGGCGAAGGCGGCCUGCUGGACGACAACUGACGCUGAGGCGCGAAAGCGUGGGGAGCAAACAGGAUUAGAUACCCUGGUAGUCCACGCUGUAAACGAUGAAUACUAGGUGUGGGGGGACUGACCCCCCCCGUGCCGCAGUUAACACAAUAAGUAUUCCACCUGGGGAGUACGAUCGCAAGAUUGCAACUCAAAUGAAUUGACGGA